rnacentral:rRNA from 1 species
AUACAGAGGGUGCAAGCGUUACUCGGAAUCACUGGGCGUAAAGCGCGCGCAGGCGGCUAUUUAAGUUGGAUGUGAAAGCCUAUGGCUCAACCAUAGAACUGCAUCCAAAACUAUUUAGCUAGAGUGUGGGAGAGGAAGAUGGAAUUAGUUGUGUAGGGGUAAAAUCCGUAGAGAUAACUAGGAAUACCAAAAGCGAAGGCAAUCUUCUGGAACACUACUGACGCUGAGGCGCGAAAGCGUGGGGAGCAAACGGGAUUAGAAACCCUAGUAGUCC